rnacentral:rRNA from 1 species
GACGGGGGAUGCAAGUGUUAUCCGGAAUCACUGGGCGUAAAGCGUCUGCAGGUGGUUUCCUAAGUCCACUGUUAAACCUUGAGGCUCAACCUCAAAUCUGCAUUGGAAACUAGGAGACUUGAGUAUAGUAGGGGUAGAGGGAAUUUCCAGUGGAGCGGUGAAAUGCGUAGAUAUUGGGAAGAACACCGGUGGCGAAGGCGGCGACCUGGUCCAUUACUGACGCUGAGGCGCGACAGCGUGGGGAGCAAACAGG